rnacentral:rRNA from 1 species
GUAGGGAAUAUUGCGCAAUGGACGAAAGUCUGACGCAGCGACGCCGCGUGAGUGAUGAAGGCCUUAGGGUCGUAAAGCUCUGUUGAAUGGGAAGAAAAAAAUGACGGUACCAUUCGAGGAAGGACCGGCUAACUUCGUGCCAGCAGCCGCGGUAAUACGAGGGGUCCUAGCGUUGUUCGGAAUCAUUGGGCGUAAAGGGUGUGUAGGUGGCCAUGUAAGUCAGGUGUGAAAGCCCCGGGCUCAACCCGGGAAGUGCACUUGAUACUGCGUGGCUUGAGUACCGAAGAGGGUAGUGGAAUUCCAGGUGUAGUGGUGAAAUACGUAGAUAUCUGGAGGAACACCGGUGGCGAAGGCGGCUACCUGGUCGAGUACUGACACUGAGACACGAAAGCGUGGGGAUCGAACAGGAUUAGAUACCCGAGUAGUCC